CAGUGGAGUUCAAGAGCAUGAAAAGACGGCGUUGUGGUUGGAUUGGACUGGCAGAUUUGAGAAAAUAGUUUUUUCUUUUAGGUGAACAACCAACCAGAGGCGGGCGUAUUUARCAGAGUAUGAGGCAUCUCCCCGUUUUCUAAUGAGCCCAUGGAGACCGCUGUGUCUACAUGUCAUUCGUUCCAUGAUCCUACUGACAUCACACUAUCCAGGACACAUCUCCUGGACUGGUAUGACUAGGGGAAUAGAGAGCUACCCUGGAGAGCCAUGCCUGGUUCUUUUCCAACGGUGGCCAACAGUACAGGAUCUUGCAGCAGCUACACUGGAGGUGAUUAAAAUGAAUUCUGACCAUCUUGUCAUGGUUUUCAUCUGCACAGGAAGUCAAUCAGAUGUGGGCGGGGCUUGGGUACUACUCCCGGGGAAGAUCUGAAUAUAUAUAUAGCAGAUAGUAUUUACUGUAUGUUCUUGCAAAAGAAAGGCUUACCACAACACAAACGUGUCACUUGUAUAAUAUGACAAGUGGAGAGCACUCUUUGGUUAAUUUUGUCAACUGCCUCUGUCUCUGUCAAAAAUAGGAUCUUAUCUUAGAUGUUAGGUCUUUGCCUGUCUGUUUAGUUGGAGAUGUGGUUGUGACAUGUACUGUGUUGUU